AAACCAGCAGCAAGUUUCUAGCAAUUUGACAUAUGUGGCAUCUAGUAUUAUAUAGUCUGGAAGGAAGUCAGAGAAUUAAGUUAGAGUUUUUGCUUUCCGAGUCAGAGCACCAGCUUUAGACUCAGACGUUUAUGUGUUUGAGAAUGAACAUUUGUCUCUGUCCUGGUUCUGAGCUUUGUGAUAUAAUACUUUAGCCUUGCUUUCUGUUUUUUGAUUAGUUUAUUUUCCAUGUACAAUGCCAUGCUGAAUUUUAGCUUUGAUCAAAUUAAUUUAGAAAUUUCAAUACAAUUACUGGAUUUGAGAGUACUGUACUAAAGUUUGUAAACUGAUUAAUAAAAAUACAUACAUAUAAGUGAUUGUUUUGCUGGUAAGAGUUGGAACACAUUUAAAGUGAAAUGUAAACUGCCAAGUGAAACUGUGGUAAACUUCAGAAGCAAUUGAAAACUCCAGAUUGUGUUAACUCAUCUGAAAAAAAUCCUAGGAAGAAUGCAUUUCUUUAGCAGACAAUGAAAAUGUUUGGUUUUCAAAGCCCGGUAGGCUGACUCAUUCUUUUAAAGCUUUAAUGGUUAAACCAGCUAAGCAGUACCACACCCAGCAUACCAUGAAAGCUGCUUUCUAUAGACACGUCCAUCUCCACUCCUCUAAGCUCUGUAAAUUGUAGUGAAAUGGAUCAGCUCUAUCAGCUGAGCAGCUAUAUACUUUAAGCUGUCUAUAACGGGAAAGAGUUCCACCCACCCACAUAAGUCACAGGCUUUCUCCAGCUGGACUGGAUUUCCCAGUAUGCUUUUUUCUCCGCCUCUCUUUUUAAGUGCUGCUGACGUCAUUUGUACACAGUACACCGAGAAAAUACAGAUGGAGAAGAAGCAAUCUUUGAGCCCGGCGUGUGUUUGAAAUUCAGAGAUCUCCCAAGACCAAAUAAUCCUCCUUCAUUGUCUUUUGAAAGGCAUGUCUACUUGGUGGGAUAACGUGCCUUACAGCGGUGUGACUGCUAAAGCACGGUAAAGUAUUGCGUAUUAAUUGGUCUGUGUACAAGUGACUGGUGUGCACUAAAAAUUCAGGGAAGAAUCCUUCUGUUGAUGUAGCUGUGCCUAAUUUAGGGGUUAGGUAGACUUAACCACGGCAUGCAGGGCAUAACAUUUUUCACAGCCCUGAGCAACGUGGCUAGGUCGAUCUAAUUUUUAAGUGUAGAUGAGGCCUGAGAUAAGGUUUCUGCAGUUUUAGAUUUCCUUCCCUAAACUCUUCUCUCAUUGUUUGUGGGCUAAUUCAUUAAAAAUAACUACACUAUAUAGGUUCUGGUUAAAUUUAGUUCUCCAUUUCUUUUAAAUUUAAAAGAUAACUUUUCUUCUUGAUUGCAACCUUCUG
rnacentral:lncRNA from 1 species